CUCCUCUCAGGGGCACAUCUGGAGAGUUUCCAGUCCUCUACCAGUCUCGGCCAAGGGAGGGAGAGUCAAGCAGGGAUAUACCCAUUCCAUUCCUAGCUUGGGCAGUGGCUAGUGAGUGAAAGGCAAUCUACUACAAGU